GGCGUGUGCCGCCGGUAAGCGGGGGGAGCGGCGCGGGGUGGGGGCUCUGGUCUGAGCCUGACUGAGGGACGGGAGGUUUAGGUUAGAGGUUAGGAGGGAAUCCUGCGCUGUGAGGGCGGCGAGGCGCUGGCACGGGCUGCCCAGAGCAGCCGUGGGUGCCCCAUCCCCGGAGGUGCUGGAGGCCAGGCUGGGUGGGGCUUUGGGCAGCCUGGUCUGGUGGGUGAGUGGCUGCUGGAGCACACGGACUUUAGGCAGGGUGAUAAACAGAGUUGUGCUGUCAGUAGCCGGUCCCUGCACAGGUCAGUUUGCAGAACCAGGCCCGGAGUGGCGUACGCUUCGUAAGGUGAGGCCUCCGUCACACCUUUUUGCUGGAGAUCGGCGUGGUUUUGAUGCCGGGCUUGGCAGGUGUUAUCCACAAGGCAGGGAACGACUUCUGCCACAGUGGUUGAUGGUUGUGUCUGUGCUGAUUUCGGUGGGGUUUUCAACAGCACUUCCAGAGGGAAAGCCGAUUUUCAGUACUCGCAUUAGGCAGGCAUUCAAGUGUUAGUUCAGCUUAAUAUUAAAAGCUCUAAAUCCUUGCAGUUCUCUGCUGAGACCAUAAUACUGUAAAUGUUUUACAGCUGACUAACAGGAGAGUAUGCAGCCUAAUAACUGUAGUGUAGAUGUUGCUGUGAACAUGCACUGUUGAUGCUGGUGUUCUUGGGGAGCUCAGGGGCAGUUGGGCUGUCUGUGCUGUGCCUGAGCCCGUAAAAUCCUGGUGUCAGGCUUUCUUGCCCACAGUGACAGUGUCCCACAGGGCACCCAGGGUCAUUUUCUAGCCUCCCGCCUUCAGCUUAUUUUUAGAGCCUGCUUCUGGAGGAGAUGCAUACAUGCAAGUGCCUUUCCUCUACCAUGCUGGUGCAGGAUCAUAAAUGCCAAGCCUUGCUCGCUAUUUCUGGUGGUGUAGAAUUGUGCCACCGGGUCCGGACCCCGCUGCGCUUGUUGCCACACCGUCGGGCCCGGGCCCUUGCUACAGCAGGUACCACCGGUCUGGGGUGGCUGCCUUUCCAGCUGCCACCUCCCUCCCUUCACAAGGAUGUUACCGUCCCUGCGAAGCCACUGCCCUGAGUUGCCUGAGGAUGUGGUCAGAGUGUUUGUGCUGCUAGCAGGGAGAUGAAACCUGUGGUACCCAGAGCUGGUGUGAUCUGGCUUUGCUCACCUGUGACGUUCCAGAGCCUUUUGAGCUUCCCCGCCUUUGAAAGAUUCUUUUCUUCUCGGGGAAAACUUCAAAAAACCCUCCUUCCAGCUGUUCUGGAAUAACAAACGCAGCUGUUCUCUUUUUCCUAAAGACGUUAAAUGUGCUUUUACAGACAAUGUUGCAGUAAAGCGUCGAAUAUGAAAACUUUCUUCACCACAGACCUGUAUGAAGGGUUCUCUCUGUGCUAGGUACUCGUGAUGUGAAAGAAGAACAUCACACACGUAAGCACGAUCACCUGGUUGCCCUCAGCUACCUGACUGCAUCUUUCACCCGUGUACGAGAGGUGCUUUUACGUGUAUUUCUUUACGUGGCACAUUCAGGCAGGAUUAUACCCACGUGCCUGCGCCAGGUCAAGUGAAAGCGGCAUCGCUGAGCUUGCAUCUUGGUGGAGAACUGCAGAGCGUGGAGGAUACUGCGUGGACACGUACAGGGUGUCGUCCGAAGGUGCAGGCACGAGCACGGCUGUUACGAACACAGGAGCCUCAGGAGCGCUGCUCCAGUCGCUGCGUCACUGAAGGGGGUGUAAUGGAUCUCUGUGGUGUGGUGAGGCUUACCGGACGUCUGCACGGGGAUAAUACAGGAUUAGUAAUAAGCCCACAUCACUUCUUGUUCUGGGAUUGUACGUUGGUCACCUACAAUGUCUACCCUCGGAAUAAAAAGUAUUUACAGCAUGGGGAGUUCCUUCUCACCUUCCCUCCCAGGAGCCCACUGCUGCUUCAUGCUGGGUUUCGCAAGACAAGUUUGUGACUACUUGGCAAAUUAGUAGUGAUGAUGCUUUUCAUGGAUUGGACACUGGAGGGUGCUAAUGCAAUGGGAGCUGAAAUUGUUCUACUAAAUUAAAGGGUUCCCCUUUGUUACUUGUGAAAUAAUUUUAUUCUUUGUUGCAACAUUUAAAUGGAAAGACAGGAAUCAGGGUCCUCACCGGCAGCUGAUCGCACUGUGCGUGUGUAGAGCUAUAACCAAGAAUAUCAAUAAAGCGUUAAGUCUGCGAGGGAUUUCUUUCCUGAACCUUUAUCCAAAAAAAAAAAAAUCACUUCAUGUUCUACACGUCUUUGAGUGUAUCUUUCAAGAUGAUGGCCUUGAGGUGAAUUUUAUUUGAAAGCAUGACUUUCUAGUGAUAAAAACACUUUGUCAGGCAGAAGCAUCUGCAGCAUCUGCUUUACUACAAGGUCACUUUGGUUCACCUAAAGCGGUGUUGUCUUGUUGCUGCCCAGGCACAACCUGAUCGUGGCUCACAUCAGGGAGGGGAGGGAUGCCUCUAACACCACUAAUCGAGUCCCUGGUGGUGUGAUCCUCUUCUCUAAGGACAGACCCGAUGGAGCUCUCUCACAUCAAGGCUUAGGGAGGCUAUGCAUGGUAUACACGUCGCACCUAGAGGUGUCUGCGCUGCUCGGAGUUUACGCUGAGCCAGUCUCUGCUCUCCUCCGCAGCUGGCAGGAAGACGUGGGGCUGACAUAAACGCCCCGGUGUGCACCUUGGCAAUUCCUUAUUCAGUAUUAAGGGCUGUGAAACUACUGCCCGAGCCGGUUCUCCUCCUGGCAGCAGCAGAGGUAUGAUGCUGGCUAAUUAAUGCUAAUGAGAAGCAGGGUGCAAAGCCAAGCGUAUCCAGCUAAUCACCACUGGCACCCCAACUAGGCCGCGUAAAGCUAGUGCAGUCCUCAGAGGUCCUGCCUGGCCCUCUACCCGCCUUUGGGGAUGUGUUAGCAAGACGGAAGCCAUCAGUCAUAAAGUGUCUGAGCAAAACGGAAUUAGUUACAGGUACACUUCUUUGUCUCUCUCAUCAGGUGUGAGUGGCAAAUGAGUUACUCCUCUGUCUUGUUCCCCUUUCCAAGUGAGUUGCGCUGUCCCCUCCUGGAGAACGUCACCUGGCUGUAACGUGUUGGUCGGUUUGUUCUCUCCAGCUGUUGCUGUCUGCUUGCAAACAGGCAGGUUUCAUUUUUCUUUCUUUUAAAAAACGCACAUCGCUUCUCUCUGAAUUCCCCCUUGAACAGAAGUGCAGCUGAGCACAGAGGAAGACCCUGUUCGUGAGGGACCUGGGAUCUGUCUUGUUCUGGCACCGUUCAUGACACGCUUGCCCACCUCACGCAGGUACACAGCUGGCGUCACAGAAAAGUUGCUUGGCUGCUUAUUGGAAGCAGCAGAAACGUGGCCAGCUGAAAGUUCACGCUUCCUUUGCAAGAGCUCUAGUAGCUUCCCAGAAUAAGGUCAUAAGGGGAUGCAAGAAGUAAAGCUCUUAAAAUCGUUGUAAUAACUAGCGUUAAUGAAGACAGUAAGCUUGAGAGGAAAUAAGUUAGUCUAAGCACACAUAAAGGGUCUGAUCACAGCUUAUUCAUCUUGCUUACCAGCCUUCAGAAGAAGACAGUGUCUUCCCUCGCAUCUCCACCCUUAGGAGCGGGGCCGAGCUCGGUUACGCCGCUUGGCAUAACGUCAGGAGACGACGCGCUAGUUGUGGUGCCAAAAGGGUCUGCAGCCGUGCAUUUCACGUAGGCUGCGUCCUGAUUUAUCCCGAGAGACCUCUGGCUAGGAGAGAGGGCUAACAGGCCUUUGGCCUAAUCGCCCCUCACUUCUCCCUGUGCCCUGCAACUCUCCCGGUGCCAUUGGCAUAAAUAGGAUUCACCUGUCCCCGUGAAACGGGCACUGCUGAGGCUGCCGGCCUUGCCUUCCCCGUUUUGCGGGCCCGGGUUGACCUGCUGUCGUGGGCUGAGCAGCCAAACCUGCUUUCUUCUCUGCCAUUUUAAUUAAAAAUGGUUGGCAUGAGAGGCUCUGCAGCGAUGAAAGGGAAAUGAUGAAACUUUGAAGAAUUUGGAGCAUAAAGCUGAUCUCUAAAUUUUAAUGUACUCGUUGCAUUUAAACAGUUAAUAGAUACAUUUUAUUAUUGAGCUUUCAGGUGACCUAAUUUCCCUUAGUACUGUACAUUUAGCUUUAUACAUCUGCACCUAAUUUGUAAAAAAGGACUUAAUGAGAAACUUCAAACAGUUUAAAUGUCAAUUACAAAGAAAGCGAGGUUUUAAAGUUCCAGUAAUCUGUCCAUAUUGGUCAUCGAAACAUGAUCCCAGGUGGAUGUUAAUUCAAGACAGAUGGCAUUCCAAAGGCACAAUUACAAAGAGCUUAUAUAUUUUCAACACUAACAAGCUGUCACGCUAUGUUGUAGCUACACUUCCAAUACUGUAUAACUACAAUUACUGCUUUAUCUGCUGCGGGCUCGGUAAUAAAGGGGUUUCAUUCCCCGCUCUUGAAAUUGUCAACGGGAUUUUUGGGGGCGAACUGGAGAGCAGGGUUGGGUAGUGUGUAUAUCUCCCAUUUGCUCAGUCUGUUGGGUGGGGGUGGUUUUUCUGUGUUUUGUGUUUUUUUUUGUUUUUUUUUUUGUUUUUUCUUUUUAAGUUGGUGAAUGCUAUUUGGAGAAGGAGGGGAAAUACUGAAUAUAUGCAUAACAAGACUAGCUCAUCACAGAAAGAUUUCUAUUUCCUGGCGAUAAUAAUUAACUUUCCUCUUAUCAGCUGCUAGGAAGUAGCUAUGCUGAUGUGUUCAAACCCACAACAUCCUGGAUGUUUUCACUUAAAAAGUCAUCGGAAAGCCUUUGGAGUAGUGCAUGUGUUACUUGGAAGGCUGAAGUCAAAGGGAUUGAUUGUGACUUUACUUGCAGUGGUGUCAAUAGGGAGCAGUUCCUCCGCAGCCGCGCAGGAAUGGUACACCCAGUGCGAAAUCAGGUUUGAAUUAUUUGUAGGUUUCUGAAAGGGUGAUUCGGCCCAUGGGCAGAGAUAGAGGGGCUGAACAAAGCCGGCUAAAGACAGCACUUCCACUAGACCAAAGCACCAACGUGUGGUGGAUGGCACCAUUUGGUGGGGAAUGCCCGUGUUGGACAUAAAUUUCCUACCGUAGGUGGACAGGGGUCUGUAUACUGACCGAUGAAACAUAAUUGGGUAUAAUUUCCACUGACUUUUUAUUUGUUUCUUGAAACCAGGUCACGAAAAAGCAAGGUUUGCACUGGUAUGACUAGAUAGUGUUUUAAUAGGCUUUAAAAAUACUAACACUGUUAGGAGCAAGAUUAAUAACGCUCUCCAGGAAGGUCUUUAAGCUCCCAUGGGCACGUCUAUUCUCUGAAGAGGUACUGAGAGUGAAGAGCUUACGUUUCUGCUAAUUUAUCUACUUUUCGCUGGAAAGUGGAGAGGGAGGCAGAAAGGCUAAGAUCCUUCAUCCUUGGAACGCUGGAAUUAAAUGGGCGGUCAACUUCGUCCAUGAUGUGGGCCAGGCACUUUGUAGGAAGAGCUCUCACCUCCUUAUCGUCCGAGGAGCAGCAGCAGCAGCGUGCCCAACACUUGGAAUGCAAGGAGGUCUUCACCAAAGUGGUUGAUAACGCCAGCACAUCAAAUCUGCACGAAAUGAAUCGCUACAGUGCCCAACAGGCAAUGAAUGCCUUCUGCAGGAUAAGGAACACGCCGCAGUCGUAUGGAUCUAGAAACGCCAAAAGGCGCUAGCACGGCAGCCCAAGGAAACUGUGAAGCCCAGUCUUGGUCCUCACAACAGGCGCUGCUUUCCCAGCGUGCUCCCCUGGUAUGCUUCAAGUGUGCGUGACAAAAGCAGAGCAAUUAAUGCCUGGGGAUGUCGGUUGUGGUGGCGGAGGACUUUGGUUGGUUCGUUUUGUCGUUCGCUCAGUUAGGGUCAAGCUGAAAACUUCCCAAGUGUAUGCUAUGGAACUAGCCAUCCAUAUCUAUAACCCUAAAUUGCUGGGGCUGAACUCUUCUCCUUCAGCCAAUGCAAGCUGAACUACUCACAGCCUCAUUAAAGUUCCUUGACUGCAAUUAUGUGGGUGCCAAUUUGCACAAUCAGAACAUAAAUUCCAAGGGAAGACAAGAGCUGACUGCGCGUCACGGCUGCCGGCAGCACCUUUGUUUUGCUAAUCAGCACAAAUUCAGCAUCUACGUGUUCACGUGCGUUAUUUUCAGCAGCAAGGGGCGAUACGGCAUAGCGUCCGAGCUGCCACCCCUCUGUACCUAGUUUUUAGGAUCCAGAGAAGCAGCCGAUAUUUGGAGGUGUGUGUGUAUUAUUCUGUUUUCUUACGCUGCUUUUGUUGCCUCUAUUGACGUGCUCGGGGCCCCAGAUACUGCACGGGGUUUAGUAUGACCCCGGGGCCUUUGCAGAGUUGAUUGCAGGACUCAAACCUUUAUAUCCACUAUUAAAAGGCAGUUAUGUGACUGUUUAUGUUAGAGCCAGGUGCUUUGUUGGCUGUGGACAUGCUGUUACUUGACAAAAUUUAGUUGUUGUUUUUUCUUUGUCAUUAAAAUAUGAUAAAC